rnacentral:lncRNA from 12 species
AGGGCGCUGCUUCUGCAGCCGGGGUGCAGAGUGUGCAGGCGCUGGCCCCCCACCCGGGAGCCCCACCCCGGGAGCCCGCGGGGAGGCCGGGGCCGCGGUGCGCAGGGGGCAGGGCACGGGGCUGGGCGGCAGGACGGCAGCCUGGGCCGAGGGGUGCGGGCCCACCGAGCGCUGGUGCGCCGCCCUCACCUCCCUCCAGCUGUACCAUCUACACGGGGAAACCGUGUUUACUCUUCCUAAAAGAAAACAAAACAGAGCCAGUGUUCUGUCCAAGAAAAUACAAAUUCCCAGAGAAAAAGCAGUGCUAACGUUAGCAUGCUUGACAUGCCUGUCGUGUUUUUCUGUGCAGAAAAAUUUCCCAUCCAAAAAUGGGAGUUGAGGGUACAAAGGAGGCGCAUAAUAAAAUAGGGCUCUCGGGGUAGAAAGAGCUUAGCAUUCUCAUUUUGUUACCUAGCCUUAAACAUAUUUUUCUAGGUCACUAAGUACUAGUCAAAGGCAUAGUUUUAAUGACCGCUUAAAAUUUGACCGUAUGGGAUUUUAUGUGCCAGAAUGUAUUAACCAUUUCCCUGUCGUAGCACAUUCCUCUUGUUUAGCCCUGAAGAAAUAUAUCCUAAAUUAUCCCCGCUUGUGUACUUAUGGUUGCUUGGAAUUCCUAUUUGAAGCUUUCUGGUGUCCAGGAAAGAAAACAUUGGCCAAGUGACCAAGCCAAGAGCUGCUUCUUGUCCUCUGAGACCUCAGAUCAGGGAAGAGAGCAGCCUGCAGGGGGAAAAGAGAUGCUUGGGGGUGCCUGGAGAGCGUGGCAAAUAUCCAGGUAUCCCUGUCUUGGAAGGAGCCUGGAUGGGAAACUCUCUCCCAAAGCACCGCCUGCCACUUUCCCUGGGAUAUCCAGCAAAGCCUGAAUGUUUAUGAUGAGGAGUAGAAAAUUCCCCUUCUGUUAUGUUCUCUGCUAAAUAUAUCACUUUUUAAAAAUGUAUGCACAUUUUUGCGGAAUGGUGGCUAUCACUGAUUCCAUGGAAAUUGUAGGACGUUAAAGGCACAAAUCUCAAUGUGCUGAGACAAGAUGGAGGCAUCCCAGGGAAAGGCAACAGUCACCUCCUGUUAAUAACAAACUUCACAGGCCUGAGAAGCAUCACACUAGUUAGCUUGAAUGAUUCCCUCUUUUUGUACCAAUCACAUGAACUGUGUGAGCAAAUUGUUUCCCUUGAGUUGCUUCACUCCACAUUUUUGUAUUGCAUCUGAUAAGAAGAAAUUCGAGAACAAUGUAUACAGCCUUUCCUUUCACAAAACCUCACCGCCCCAAACUUCUGUCUCCAUAGUGAAUGAGAAUGAAUUGUAGAGCCAUCCUCGUCCUCAUCAAAACACUCACAUAGUGGGUUUUUGUUCUUUUAAUCAACAAUUUCAGUGUUAAAAUCUGAUCAGUUGUGUACAUUUACUCAUGAGAAAAGAAAACACGUCCACGUUAUUCAUAAAAGCCAAAAAACGGAAACAACCCAAAUGUCCCUCACCAGAUACACAGACACGAUAGGUCUAUCCAUACAGUGGAAUAGUAUUCAGCUGUAAAAUAAUGAUAAUAAUAAUAAUAAUAAUAAUGAAUUCCUGAUGUGUGCUACGUGGUUGAAUUUCAGAAAUGUUAUGCUAAGACAGAAAGGCUAUAUAUCCUAUGACUCCAUUAAUCCAAAAUGUCCAGAAAAGAUUAAUCUAGAGAGAUAGGAAGUAACUGAGUGUCACUGGCAGCAGGAGCAAAGUGAUGAGGAAUGAGAGCUGAGGGGUACCAGGUUUCCUUUGGGAGUGAUGGAAAUCUCCUAAGAUUAUAUCAUAUCAUGAUUAUACCACACUUUCUAUACUAAAACAAACAAAAGACCCACUGAAUUGUACACUUACCGGGGGUGAUUUUUAUGGCAUGUGAACUUAAUCUCAAUAAAAGUUUUUUAAAAUGCA